AACAUUCCACUAGAAAGAACCUGAAAAGUGAAUAUAUUUUAAUGUGCAGACACUGUUUUGACACAGAUCUGUAGCUCUGACACAGAAUAUUCAUU